AUGGCUGUCACUUUAUGGGCAGUGUGGUAUAUCAGGAGGAAAGCAAUAUACGAGGCAAUAUUCCAGAGCCCACAACACACUAUCUCUUUUGUGAACAAUUUUCUUGCAAAGCUGGCACAGAUUUCUCCUACACCGGCGAGGCCGGCGGGGGCAAACGCCGCUAGCGCGCCUGCCCAACGUUGGCUUGCACCAGAGGCGGGUUCAGUUAAGAUAAAUUCUGAUGGUGCCCUUGCGAGGAACAGUCGAGGCGGGGUUGUGGCUGCUCUAUGCCGUGAUCACAAUGGAGUAUUUCUUGGAUCCUCCGCUGUGUUCUAUCAAGGAAUCAGAGACCCGAUGAUUUUGGAGACAUAUGCCUGUAGACAAGCUCUAGCAUUGGCUGAGGAUUUAGCAGCCCAAAACAUUAUGGUGGCCUCUGAUUGUCAAGGAGUUGUCAAUGACAUCAACAAUGGGACAGGCGGUCCGAAAGGGGCUAUCAUACAUGAAAUCAUAGCCCGUAGUUCUAUUUUUACCUCUUGUAAGUUCUUGCACGAAUGUAGGAACCUUAAUUUUGAGGCGCACAAUCUCGCCAAAUUUGCUUGUAAUUUACCUAUAGGUAGACAUGUCUGGUUGGGUAAUCCUCAUGACCCGAACGUUGUACCUAUAAACAUUGUUUUGAGUCAAUAA
rnacentral:rRNA from 1 species